AUAAAGUCUAUGAAGCAAAGAGUAGUUAAUGGCGCUGGUUUAGCGAGAGGUGUUGGUGGAAGGCCUCCUGGUAAAAUUAAUGAACCGCAUUGCUUAGAUGGUUAGCUGAAAUCUUUUAGGUUAACCCGCUGAUAGCGUUACGCAAAUGAGAUGAUUGGUUAAUUAGUUUAACCUAUCAAGUAGAGUGGUAUCGUGGAUUAGUCCGCCUCUUAA
rnacentral:ncRNA from 1 species